UGCUGCAUGGCUGUCGUCAGCUCGUGUCGUGAGAUGUUCGGUUAAGUCCGCUAACGAGCGCAAACCCUCGCUGUGUGUUACAUGUGUCACACGGGACUGCCGGUAACAAGCCGGAGGAAGGUGAGGAUGAUGUCAAGUCAGCAUGGCCCUUUAUAUCCUGGGCUACACACACGCUACAAUGGGCAGGUACAAUAGGUUGCGAAGCCGCGAGGCGAAGCCAAUCCCUAAAGCUGUCCUCAGUUCAGAUUGCAGGCUGCAACCCGCCUGCAUGAAGAUGGAGUUGCUAGUAACCGCAGGUCAGCUAUACUGCGGUGAUACGUUCCGGGUU
rnacentral:rRNA from 1 species